AGCAGUGUGGCUUGGCUGGGUAGUAUUUCGGAGGACGCACGGCUCUCGACCUUCGCCUCUCCCGAGUCCUUACGGGAGUUGCACUGAUGGGACAAGACUGUAACUACCAAUUGGGGAGAAAAAGGGAUAAGAAACAAACAAAAAACAAUUUUACAUUUAUAAUUGAUUGAGGUAGGGACAUCCCAAGGAUCCCGAAUAGCACGGACACUCUGGACAUAAUAUUUUCUAGGCCAUUAGUGAUAACAGGAAAUACACAAGCCAUAGGCUACACUAUAGCUCAAGGUGUGUCGGCAUGCACGGGAAAAACGUUUUGUCCCCAGGUUUUCACUGAGUCCUGUUACCCUGACACAUUCCACCCUCUAAACUUUGGGACAUUCCCCAAGUCACAUGAUCAACAGGCAGUAACAUCAUUUGAGUCUCCUGAAGGCCAUGGGAAGACCAAAGGGAGCCAAUCGAUUAAGUGCUGCAGAGAAGCAGCGGCACUAUCGUGCUCAACGCGAUGCCGACCCAGAAAGGAGAGACGGAUACUUAAAGAAGGAAUAGCAGAAAUACAGGCAAAGGAUGAAGGGCUUAAAAGGAGGUGAAAGACAUCAGAGAAGAGCUACAAAAGCAGCUACAGACACAAACCCGAUAAAAGGAGAGGUAUAAGGAAAACAUUCUGCGUAUGAAACAGAAUAAUCCAUCUCCAUGUACAAAAGUUGACAAACAUGAGACUGCUACCACGCGCUACAAUACAAAAGACCCUUCUCUUCCACGAGGCCUUAGUGGAGGACAUCCGACAGAGGUACAGCAACUCACGGGGAGAAAGGAAAAGGCAACUCAUCUCAAAGAUAGUGACAGGAAAACAAAAAGAAAUAUAGGCUGCAACGUCUCUCCCAAAGUUCAUUUGGGUUGUCAAAGAAAAGGUGGCUGAUGAAUGCGAAGAAUGCAGAACUUAACUUAAACUACCAAAGGAAGAGAAACAAUAGGGUGGUAGAUGGCUUCAUAAACAAAGUCUGAGAUUUUUCCACCAUGGAUGAUGUCAGUCGAUUAACGACUGGGAAGAGGCAGACCCCUCACCCUGAAGAAAAUCAGAAGAGGUUCCUUUUGGACACAAUGAAAAAUCUACAUGUGAAGUUGUUGGCAGAACAUGAUGAGUCUAUCUCAUACUCCCUCUUCUGCUCGCUGAGCCCCUUUUGGGUUUUUCACCCAACUCUAAUUGACCAGGAGACUUGCAUGUGCAAACAGCAUGAACAUCUCCGUUUUAUCGUACAGAAACUGCACCACCUGAAGAUAAUCAACACUUUCAAUCCUGAUGAACUUCUAAAAUCCAUCACAUGCAACGUGGAGUGCAUGAAGUGCAUGUAUGGAGAAUGUGUGGUGUGCAAGGACCUCUCUUGUCCCGUCUCUGGCCAAUACAAUGAUAAGAGUGAAACGACUUCUGUCCAGUGGGCAACUGUGGAUAAGGAGCACAAGAAUGACCCCAAUGGCGGAACAUCCAAAGUCACCAUCAAAAAAGAGUUCCAGACCACCAGAUGCAUCAGGCAGUAACCCUAGGCCAUGAAGAGCUGACCUACAGUGACAUCAGCUGCUUGUGCACAGCAAGACAACAUCUGAGCUGUGAGUGCUUUAAUGCAAAGCAUUUCACAUUCAAUUGACAGAAGGCUCCCACGACCACAGGAGAUCAGUGGCAAAGUUCUGAGGUUGUUGGCAAACGGUGUGUGCUGAAGUACGACGGUCAACUGUACCCUGGCAUCAUCACAGACACAAACAACACACACGUCAAGGUUUAUUGUAUGAAAAGUAUUGUGGCCAACAGGUUUUGCUGGCCAGUCCGCGAAGACAUCCUUUCGUACCCGUUUCAAGACAUCCUGUGUACAAUCCCACCAGCGAGGCAGGUCACAGCUCGUUACAUGGAAAUUGACAACGAAGUCUGGGCCAAACUUAACUGUUUCUUAGAAAAGGCAAGGCAAGUUUUUGUUCAUUAUUUGAUUGAAAUUCUGUAUGAAAUACAAUUGUAUAUUGUGUUUGCAAGUGAAUGUUGUGUUUUAUAUGCCGAAAAUAGUAUUUUCAAGUUAAUAUUAGAUACUGGUAGUCAAUGUAGAGAUCUGAGGAUCUGCUUCAUAUGCUCAGCUUUUUGUAUUUGUCUUUCUUGCCUUUUGAGAGGAAGAUGGAGAACCCAUACUGUGCAGAGGCAGGAGCCUGACACACAUGCUGCAGGGGGACGAGUGAUACUCACACCUUUCUCUCUCUCUCUCUCUUUCCACUGCACACACACACAAGCGCACGCUCACAUACACACACACACACACACUCAUGCAAAAGCAUGCACACACAAUUGUUACAGCUUUUAUGUUGCUAUUUAGACUAAGAUAUUCUUUUCCAAAUAUAAUGACCUCUGUUUUAUCUUUGUUUAAUUGAAGGAAGUUCUGUGACAUCCAGUUAUUCUCUCACACACAAGCACUCAUUCCUGUUACUCAGUGCUCAUUCCUGUGACCCAAUGUUCAUUCCUGUUACUUCAUUGUUUUUUAGUUUAAAAAAUUAAGAUAAACCACUUAUUUUUCAAUUAUGUUUGGUCCAUCAUUUAAACAGUUGUUUGGUAAACCACAUGAUACAUUUUUAUCAAAAAUCUAAGGGGGUCUCCCAUAAAAAUAAAAAAUGGCUUUGUGUUAAAAAACACAUUUUGCCUGCAUAUGUUGUGACUUUUUAGCUAUAGAUAUAUAUUUUUGUACAUGUAACCAAUUUUCUUUAAAAUACCCACUUUAUUGAGGGAAAAACAAAGAAACUAGUUGGCAUGACUUUUAAUUGAUAUUUAAACAGUUGUAAGAGUUUUGGUAACAAGACUGGGAAAAAUGCAACCAUCUUCCAUUUAGAAACCUUGUUAAUAAAUAUAUAUAGAAUUGCCAGAGA